rnacentral:rRNA from 1 species
AUGACUCACCUGCUUGUUAAUUGCCUAUUUUGUCGCCAAGCGUGGCAUGAUAUGCUCUCGUGGUGUCGUUCGAGCACUUGACCGCCCGACGCCGGCGGGGACUUCAUUGACUAGUGGGCCUCAGCCUUCGAUGCAUCGCCCACUGGCCAACGCAAGGGCCUAUCAACCUUGGUCAUUCUCACUGCAUGCUGGAUUUGGAAGGCUCGGAGCGGUUGCAUGUACAACAUGGAACAUCCCUCUGUCUCUAACAUGACUCGGUCUAGACGUGAUGAGGCUCGCCGUUGGGCAUGUGCUAAGGCAGUGGCCUGGAUGUCAUCCUACCUGAGACGUAGACGUAGGUUGUAG